UGGGGAAUAUUGGACAAUGGGCGAAAGCCUGAUCCAGCCAUGCCGCGUGUGUGAAGAAGGCCUUUUGGUUGUAAAGCACUUUAAGUGGGGAGGAAAAGCUUAUGGUUAAUACCCAUAAGCCCUGACGUUACCCACAGAAUAAGCACCGGCUAACUCCGUGCCAGCAGCCGCGGUAAUACGGAGGGUGCGAGCGUUAAUCGGAAUAACUGGGCGUAAAGGGCACGCAGGCGGUUAUUUAAGUGAGGUGUGAAAGCCCCGGGCUUAACCUGGGAAUUGCAUUUCAGACUGGGUAACUAGAGUACUUUAGGGAGGGGUAGAAUUCCACGUGUAGCGGUGAAAUGCGUAGAGAUGUGGAGGAAUACCGAAGGCGAAGGCAGCCCCUUGGGAAUGUACUGACGCUCAUGUGCGAAAGCGUGGGGAGCAAACAGGAUUAGAUACCCUGGUAGUCCACGCUGUAAACGCUGUCGAUUUGGGGAUUGGGCUUAAAGCUUGGUGCCCGUAGCUAACGUGAUAAAUCGACCGCCUGGGGAGUACGGCCGCAAGGUUA
rnacentral:rRNA from 1 species